UACGGGGGGAGCAAGCGUUGUUCGGAUUUACUGGGCGUAAAGCGCGUGUAGGCGGUCCGGUAAGUCGGCUGUGAAAGUCGGGGGCUCAACCCUCGGAUGCCGGUGGAUACUGUCGGGCUUGAGUACGGAAGAGGCGAGUGGAAUUCCUGGUGUAGCGGUGAAAUGCGCAGAUAUCAGGAGGAACACCAAUUGCGAAGGCAGCUCGCUGGGACGUUACUGACGCUGAGACGCGAAAGCGUGGGGAGCAAACAGG
rnacentral:rRNA from 1 species